rnacentral:rRNA from 1 species
ACUCCUACGGGAGGCAGCAGUGAGGAAUAUUGGUCAAUGGACGAGAGUCUGAACCAGCCAUCCCGCGUGCAGGAUGACGGCCCUAUGGGUUGUAAACUGCUUUUCUACUCCAAGAAACCACCUUACGUGUAAGGUGUUGCCGGUAGAGUAGGAAUAAGCAUCGGCUAACUCCGUGCCAGCAGCCGCGGUAAUACGGAGGAUGCAAGCGUUAUCCGGAUUCAUUGGGUUUAAAGGGUGCGCAGGUGGGCUUGUAAGUCAGUGGUGAAAUGCUGCCGCUUAACGGUAGAACUGCCAUUGAUACUGCAAGUCUUGAAUAUGGUUGAGGUAGGCGGAAUGUGUUGUGUAGCGGUGAAAUGCAUAGAUAUGACACAGAACGCCGAUUGCGAAGGCAGCUUACUAAGCCAUAAUUGACGCUGAGGCACGAAAGCGUGGGGAGCGAACAGGAUUAGAUACCCUGGUAGGCUCU